AUCAAGGUGAAGAGUUCCAAAUAAGACGAAACAUGUGUCCUGGAU
rnacentral:hammerhead_ribozyme from 1 species